rnacentral:lncRNA from 1 species
GUGGCAGGAAAUUCAUCACUUUUUAAAGUAAUUCUCUUUGGAGAUGGUGGGGUUGGGAAGAGUUCACUUAGGAACAGAUAAGUAACUAUUAAGUUUGGCACUCAGCUGUUCCAUGCAAUAGAUGUGGAAUUUUAAAAUAAGAUUUGAAAGGGGUGGACAUUUUGUUACCAUACAGAUUUGUGACAUGGCAGGUCAGGAGAGAUUCUGAAGCCUGAGGACACCAUUUUACAGAGGUUCUGACAGUUCUCUGCUUAUUUUUAGAAUCAAUGAUUUAGGAAGCUUCCAGAACUUAAGUAAUUGGAAAGAACCUGAGCGAUUUCCUUUUGUAGUUCUGCAUUCCAGGACUGGCAUAAACGAAAGGCAGGUGUUUAUAGAAGAACAGCUGCAUUAUGCAGGAAGGACAGUGACUACCCUUACUUUGCAACAAGUGCAAAAGAUGCCACAAAUGUGGCAGCAGCCUUUGAGGAUGGGGUUCAAAAAAUUCUUGUGACUGUGGAUAUGUCAGAUCACUUGAUGAACACAGGCAUGGUCAACCUUCACCAAAAGCCCAAGCCUGGCACAUCUUGUUAUUGA